UACGGAGGAGGCAAGCGUUCUCCGGAAUGAUUGGGCGUAAAGCGUCCGCAGGUGGCAGUUCAAGUCUGCUGUCAAAGACCGGGGCUUAACUUCGGAAAGGCAGUGGAAACUGAACAGCUAGAGUAUGGUAGGGGCAGAGGGAAUUCCUGGUGUAGCGGUGAAAUGCGUAGAGAUCAGGAAGAACAUCGGUGGCGAAGGCGCUCUGCUGGACCAUAACUGACACUCAGGGACGAAAGCUAGGGGAGCGAAUGGG
rnacentral:rRNA from 1 species